AGAGGUUUGAUUAUGGCUCAGGAUGAACGCUGGCGGCGUGCAUAACACAUCAAGUCGAACGGUGAAGGAAGCUUGCUUCCGGAUCAGUGGCGGACGGGUGAGUAACGCGUGAGCAACCUGCCCUGCAUUGGGGGAUAACACAGGGAAACUUGUGCUAAUACCUCAUGACACAUACUUAUCGCAUGUUAGGUAUGUCAAAGAGCAAUCGAUGCAGGAUGGGCUCGCGUAUGAUUAGGUAGUUGGCGGGGUAAGGGCCCACCAAGCCUGCGAUCAUUAGCCGAACUGAGAGGUUGAACGGCCACAUUGGAACUGAGAAACGGUCCAGACUCCUACGGGAGGCAGCAGUGGGGAAUAUUGGGCAAUGGGCGAAAGCCUGAACCCCCAGCGACGCCGCGUGAGGGAAGACGGUCUUCGGAUUGUAAACCUCUUUCAGCAGGGAAGAAGAAAGUGACGGUACCUGCAGAAGAAGUCACGGCUAACUACGUGCCAGCCGCCGC
rnacentral:rRNA from 1 species